rnacentral:rRNA from 1 species
UCAGUACCCGAAUUUCUUGACGACCAUAGAGCAUUGGAACCACCUGAUCCCAUCCCGAACUCAGCAGUGAAACGAUGCAUCGCCGAUGGUAGUGUGGGGUUUCCCCAUGUGAGAGUAGGUCAUCGUCAAGA